AUGGCUCAACUAUACAACUUACUCCAUAUAGGGAGAUACAUAACACUGAUUCUCACCGUAACAUCAAGUGGUUUUGCAGAUGAAAUUGAGCCAACAGAUACCAACAUCAUCAGGAAAGAAACAGAGACUGUUACUCUAAAAUGUUCAUUUCAGUCAAGCAGCAGCAACAUUCGGCUUUACUGGUACAAACAAAAUCCUAACAGCGCACCACAGUUUUUACUGUAUAAAGGUGCAAAAGGCCGAACAGAUCAGAGCACUCCUGAUGAUCCUCGAUUCAUGUCUGAAACAACCAGUACAUCUACUGAACUUAUGAUCUACAAUCUAAAGCUGACAGAUUCUGCUCUCUAUCACUGUGCUCUUAGAGACACCCAAUACUCCCAGCUUCUUCAGCUUGCCUGCCCGUCACCUACCUGCCAUCUCCCGGUGAGAGUACAUGUCCGCAGCGAUGGAAUUAAUAAUCAGAACCUGCGUCCUCUUGAGUACCAGCCCCCGCUGCAGCUGUUGGGAACAUGGGAAUAA